rnacentral:lncRNA from 1 species
AAGUGCUGUGAGCCACAAGUAACAUCAAGAAAAGACAGGGAUGAAGAACCGCACUUACAAGCUCAGUGUAAGCUCAUCCUACACAUGUCAUUUGGACCAGACCAAGGCUGCUGUCAUGGAGGACCCACACCACAGCUUGGGAACCAUUCAUCUACCAGAGGGUCACAUGACUUCAAAUGACUCUUCUAGGGGCCACCUGCCAUGAUAGGGUACCAGCUCUUCCUCUGAAUUCCCAAUCCAUUUCUUGAGAACUACUGUUCCUAAUAACAGGGGAAGAAGGUCAUGUGGGAAUCAGUUAAAUCAUGUGUGGGUGGAAGACAAGUUCCAGCUUUGUGGGAAAUCCUGUAGCCUUCGCCAGGUACACCCUGACAAUCUCAGAACUGAUCAGAGUUUUUGUUCCAUGUGAGAUACCCACGCCACUUUAAAAAACAAACUAUCCUGACAUCUAAUUACUUUGUGAAUGAUUGUAAUGGCAAUAACAAUAGAGAUGGAAGAAUUUUUGAAACAA